CUAACUCUCAGCUUUUCUUGCAAUGCGAUGGCAACAUCUUUUCCUUGUCAAUUUUAUUGUGUUUAAUGAUUCAUGAGAUCCGGUAUAACACAACAAGUUCCUAAUUUGUUUGUGGCUGUUUGCGUAGUCAUUGAAAUACCUAAACACGUAGGCACAUUAUUGUGCUCCAAGAUGACGGCUUUAAAGCUCCACAUGAAGCUUUUAUGUCGAGUUUGGGGCCGCAGCUGCUUCGGUUCGUUAUGUGACUGGCGAGAGACGAGCAUGUGCACGUGACACCAUUCCUAAAUGGAAAGUGUGUCGGCGUGGCUGUGUGUUUAAACAGUCCACAACGUAAAUGAGAACACUUCAGCAGAUUGUGGUCGAGAACCAAGGCAUCACUCUGCUUAAAAAGUCAACCACUCCUGACGUCAAUUUAAACACACACGAGCGGAGCGCACGCACAAGCUUACGCCAACUGGCUAACAGAAAGCAGACGCGGGUGAGGAGAGAGGCCGACGCCGACACGCAGCUGAGUGAGCGUUAACUCCCCGUUGCCCGUGCACCAAGAGGAGCAUGGGAGUGAUAAGAGAGGUGCCAGAAUAGAAGAAGCAUCACACUCACAUGAGAUUAUUCUCUAUAGCUGACAUGUUAAAAGAUAAAGAAACGGACCAUAUGGAUAUUCACACUGAUGCUCUUUUAGUGAUAGCUGAACUAUAUGAAUGCAGAACCGAGCACUAAGCCUUUAGAGGGGUACAAACAUACUCAUUAUCAGGCUGAAUUUGAGUAUUUUACCUCUCUUUUGAGCAGGCUCAAUUUUCAGAUGUGCCCAAAAUCAACCAUUAGACUGUUUUCAACCACGUGACUACAUCCGGGGCACCUGGCCAUGUCGGAUGGGUUCACUCUACUGACCCGCCGUUCACUCUAUUGCUUUUAUAUACAGACCGGAGCUACACAAAUGUUCGUAUGACUGUUAAAACUGACGCAUGAUGGCUAAAAAGACUUUGGAAAGUUAUCGGGGCUCAUUAGACGUUUCAAGAAACCGUUACCACAAGAAGUUUGCUUUGAUUGACAAUAUCGACCCAUUUGCCUUGGAGAAACACAAAUGGGACACAACUGUGGGCGUCGGUAACUUAUCCAGACAUCGUCCACUAUCUCCUCUUCUCGACAAGCGCUUAUAACAUGGGCCAACUAAAGGAUUACAAAGGUCUGGAGGCCUACAACCAAUUCAACAAUGGCUGGGUUCGUCAUGCAGCGGUAUCCAUUGUAAGCAACCUGUCUCCACACUGUUAAGACGGCAGCAUUUUUCUGAGGCAAAAGAGCGAGAGGAAGACCAAAGAAAAGGUUGAUGGAUGUCGUGAGGGAGGACAUGUUGACAGUGGGUGUUAGAGAGGAAGAUGCACGAGAUAUGCUUAGAUGGAAAAAGAUGACAUGCUGUGGCAACCCCUAACGGGACACGCCGAAAGGAAAAGAAGAAGAAGAACAGUAUUUUUCUGAAAUGGACCUUUCCAACCCGUCAAUCACUUGUACAAUAAUAGCCAAUCAGAUAGCCACAUUGUCCUUACCCCUAGCUUGACAUGCCCCUCUUGUCGUCAUGUCCCACAAGCAAUGCUGGUUGUUAGUAGCGUGCGCUUGGAAAAGUUAAUGUUACGAACAAAAUGGUCCUCAGAUGCGCUUGGGGAACGUGCAAUUCUGAUGAAAGACAUCCUGCUAGGUUACAAGGGGCCCGGUUGAUUCAUUUUCCAAAGCCUAAAGCACAGUUGAUGAAGUCUCUAUGAUGGAUUAAGGCUCACGGAAGAGCGCAUGUACAACUAAAUGUCGACAAUAUCAACAAACACAAGGCUGUAUAUUCGAAGGUAAGUGAGAGAGAAGUAUAUUCUCUGAGUUUGAUUUCAUUAUUAUCAGUGCUUUAUACGUUGCAGGAGAACAACUUUCACUUUGUUAGGGUCUCACUGGCCUGCUGAAUGAAGUAUGUAAUGUUUCAUGCCGAAGAGUCGGGUUAGUGAGACGUAAAUGCGCCAUGUCAUGCAAGAGAAACAUCUAUUUGCCCAUUUGUAUCACAUCGGACCUUUAAGACAGAGCACUGGGUUCCAUUACGAGCCAAGUCAAAUGAAUACACUCACUCACUUAUAAAGACUACAAUGAUGUUACUCGUGAUCUUUCCAAGUAAAAAGUACUCACCCUACUUUACAUGUGCAGCAUGAUUCCACAAUUUUAUCCUGUUGGAUUUCAAAUUGAAGUUUGUGAAGCCUCAAACUUUUUUUGCAUCAAUUGCCAACAUUUCGCUGUAACUCUGACAUUGCGUCCUGCUCCGUCCAAAAUCUUCAUUCUGUGUACAUAUCCUUGCGUGAAGGACCUUGGCAUGUGCUGGUUUAAAAAACGCAGAUAAGUAGAUUCCUGCUUAAACUUAUUUCACGUGAGUAUGAAAAACAUAAGUCACAAACUCAAGUUCUAAAGGUACAAGUUUAUCCAACUGGUAUCUCAGUCGGAACCCUUGGGGGCACUAUGUAAAAAUAUGACCUCAAAAAGUGGUGGAAAAAAAGGACACAAGGAAGAAUGUAGUUUCAUGUUGAAUAGAUAUUAGCUGUGUGCUGAUCAAAAAAUAUUUAAAAAAGUGAAUAAAAAAGAAAUACAGUAUAAGACUGAUCCUACACGUGGCCCUCCAUGUAAUGGCCCCGUCACACCAUCAUGUUCUGGUUAACGUUCUCUGAACAUUUCAAUUGUUCUAUUUUUCAUCGUUCUCAAAUGAGGAUGACACAUCUGGCGUGUGAUUAACGUGCGUCUAACGCACGAGAAGCGUGUUACAGCGACCAAAUAAGAUACCCCUAAAAACCAUUAGCGUGUACUAACGUGUCACUGGGGCGCAACGAGCAAUUUGUCAAUGUUAGACGAGCGUGUUGAGCGUGUGAUAAACGGGUGAAUAACGACAGAAAAGCGUUUUGCUGGCGUGUAAUUUUUACAGUGGAACGGGAACGAAAACGUUUUAAGUUUCAUACUCACUUCAGUUGUUCUCGUGAGUUUGAACAGUCAGCAUCAUGCCGCCUAGACGAAAAAAAAGUGGGGUGCGGACUUCAGCAACUAGCGCUGCAAGUAAGAAUGCAAAGCAUCUGUUUAUAUACCCAUAUAUACCCAUGCCUGAACGUUCGGGAAACGCACGAAUGACGCCAAAGGACGUUCGUUUGACUUUAGUUACACGCUGUGUGCGCUAGGGGAUUGUUCAGUGGUCGUUGACAGUUCGCCAGUGAGUCGUUCACUGCAAAGCAAAUGAUUAAGUAACAACCAGGUAAAGCUCGAGUUACGACUGACUGACGAUAGCCAAACGCUCGACGAACCUCAGUAAAAUGUUCCACGAACGUUCUUGAACGUUCUGCAGCGUUUAAAAUUCAACGUUGAUGAACGCUGGUCUCGGUGAGAUCGUUCUCCGCCGAUUCCCAGCGAUCAUUGACGUUCACUAGCAUUCAAACGACGGUCUUCUGGCGCUAUCCCGGCGACCAUGGGCGACUACCAACGUUUCCUCAAACGCUAUAGAACGCUGACCAGAACGUCAUGGUGUGACGGGGCCAUAACUAGUUACAUAGUCGCUCGCAAAGCUGAGUGCUAAUGCUAACAAAAACCAGCAUACGCGACAUCAAUGAUGCAAUUCCCACAAUGCAAUCUGAUUUUUCUUGUUGUUGCAGUAAUCAGCAUCAUAAUUAUGCUAUCAGGUGUGGUCCUUUUUGUAUAUGUUACCAUUGUUUGUUAGAGUGUGUACCUUAUAGACAAGCUGUCACAUUUAUAGUUAAUUUGUUUUUUUUUUUCUUUUUUAAAUUAGAUUUCAUAUGUAAUCGUUACUUUAGGUUGCGUGUUGAAAAAAAAAAAAAACAAUCGAUUGAUUCCUCAGAUUUUGUGCAAAAGGAGUUUAACUGUGAAAAGAUAGUAAGAGCUAACUUUGGGAUGGGACAGUCAUCGAGACCUUCAUCAUUAUGUAGUUACUUAACAUGUUUUCCUGUAACAAUGCAUUACAUUACAGCUAGCUAUAGCAAGAGAAAGCUACAUAGUGUUAGUUUGAUCAAAAUAGAAAUUCUUUUCAAGUCAACGGGUUCAAGUCCAAGUGAAGUCGCAAGUCAUUGCUGUUCCUGUCCAAGUCGAGUUGCAAGUCUUUCAACAGAUUGUCAAGUUGAGUCUGACUUGAGUCCAAGUCCACAUAUUUGUCCACUUGGGAACAUGUGAAGGUUUGUUGUUUCAUGUACAAUCGAUCACACUUGCAACCCCAAACGAGCUUACUGGAGCCACAGAGUGAAGGAGAUCCCCCCGCUAAGCUGUUAAUAAUCGCAUUUAUAUGACACAACGUGUUGAAUUCAAGAUCAUGCCAUGACUGUAAUUGGGUGCGACUGUCAGACACAUUUCAACAGCACUCAGUCAUUGUUAAAUUGUGUAAAGUAGUUAUUUUGUCUUGUGACAAGAGGACUUUUUCAUCUGCAGCUUACAGCACAACAUUCCUAAACACAAACACAGGAAAUUUGGAUUGUUUGACCCCCCUAAGAACACUGUGCCUGCUCAGCCCACCUUUCAAGUAAGGACAAAAUGUAUCAUCGUGAAGCUAUUUAUACUCCAAAACUGGCUCUUGGAAGAAUAGAUUCCUUGCGGCCUGGAGAGGACUCGUAUAAACUGCAGCAGAUUGACUAUUAAGGACAGUCCUGAAAGCCUCGCGCUUCGCUGGAAAGAGUUUCAAGACGACCCCUGAGCUCCAUUCAUCUGCAAUAAAAAUUCCUGCCUGGAUCGUUUUAUUUUCUCCCCCUGCAGACUAUUGUUUUUCGUUCCAGUAAUGACAGCGAGAUCAAACUGCAUGUUCAUGUUGUGGGUAUGUACUGUACAUUAACAGCGAGCACAACAUUUGCAUUGGUAUAUAAAAACAUAUGGUCGCCAUACGCGCAGCAUGCGGGACGACUGGUUAGCACAUCUGCCUCACAGUUCUGAGGACCAGGGUUCAAAUCUUGGCCCCACCUGUAUGGAGUUUGUUCUCCCCAUGCUUGCGUGGGUUUUCUCCGGGUACUCCGCUUUCCUCUCACAUCCCAAAUACAUAUAGUAGGUUAAUUGAGUCCUGUAAAAAAUCCUGUAGAUGUGAAUGUUUAUCUAUAUGUGCCCUGCAAGGCUCGUUUGCCAAUUUGGCAGACCCGUCUGCGGCAAGAUGGGCGUAAUAGUGAUGGCGUUUCCUUUUAUUGCCGGCGUAGAAUUUACAUAAUUUUAAAACUGUUUAUUAAAGGUAAAAUUAUAACACAGGUGUACAUAUAGAUUAUGCACAUACUUAAUAUACUACUUUUACAAAUGGAAGUUAUGUGUCCAGUGUGAUGUAAUGAUGUUAUUACCAUCAUAGCAUUGUUGUUUUAAUGCUUUCUCGCACAAAGUGUUUCCCUACAAAGUUUUGUUAACUAUGAAGCUAUUCAUAUUUUGGUGGGACUCUGCAUUCAUUCAUUCGAGUUGGUAUGGAAAGUAUUCAAAUUUUCACGUUGUUUUAUGACAGCUAUUUGCUGAAAUAAAGUUUGUCUCCCUUCUUAUUUUGCACACAGAAUAAAAUGAAUUGUUUUUUUUUGCAGCUUUAUUAAAAGAACAAAAAAUGAAAUAUCCUACAUCCUUAAGUAUUCAGACCUUUUUCUGUGACACUCAUACUGUGUAUUUAAUUCAGUUGCUGUCGAUUUUUUUUUUUUCUGAUUGUGGUUGGAUGAGAUGGUUCUACACCUUCAUUGUAUUCCAGCUUUUUGUAAAUUUUACUGGAUGGACCUGUUUAGGAAAGCCGCUCACCUGUCUGUAUCUGAUGAGAAUCAUGAGAUUUAAAAAAAAAAAAACGGCCUGAAGAUCUCAGAGCACAGAUCAGACCAAGACCUCCAUAACCCUUAAAUGGUAGACGUUUGGGCCGACGAGAAUCUUUCCUAGAUCUGCUGUCCA